rnacentral:rRNA from 1 species
UACGGAGGGUGCGAGCGUUGUCCGGAAUCACUGGGCGUAAAGGGCGCGUAGGUGGCCUGUGGAAGUCUGCGGUGAAAGCCCGGCGCUCAACGCCGGGUCGGCCGUGGAUACUCUCGGGCUCGAGCUUACUAGAGGCAGAUGGAAUUCCGGGUGUAGCGGUGGAAUGCGUAGAGAUCCGGAAGAACACCGGUGGCGAAGGCGGCAUCCUGGACCGGCAUUGACGCUGAGGAGCGAAAGCCAGGGGAGCAAACGGG